GCGUUGUCCGGAUUUAUUGGGCGUAAAGAGCGUGUAGGCGGCCAGAUAAGUGGGUUGUGAAAACUGGAGGCUUAACCUUCAGACGUCGACCCAAACUAUCUGGCUAGAGUCCGGAAGAGGAGAGUGGAAUUCCUGGUGUAGCGGUGAAAUGCGCAGGUAUCAGGAAGAACACCCGUGGCUAAGGCGGCUCUCUAGUACGGUACUGACGCUGAGACGCGAAAGCGUG
rnacentral:rRNA from 1 species